GAUGAACGCUGGCGGCGUGCCUAAUACAUGCAAGUCGAGCGAACAGAUAAGGAGCUUGCUCCUUUGACGUUAGCGGCGGACGGGUGAGUAACACGUGGGUAACCUACCUAUAAGACUGGAAUAACUCCGGGAAACCGGGGCUAAUGCAGUAUAACAUGUUUAACCGCAUGGUUCUACAGUGAAAGUCGGCUUUUCUGUCACUUAUAGAUGUACCCGCUCCUUAUUAGCUAGUUGGUAAGGUAACGGCUCACCAAGGCAACGAUACGUAGCCGACCUGAGAGGGUGACCGGCCACACUGGAACUGAGACACGGUCCAGACUCCUACGGGAGGCAGCAGUAGGGAAUCUUCCGCAAUGGGCGAAAGCCAGACGGAGCAACGCCGCGUGAGUGAUGAAGGUCUUCGGAUCGUAAAACUCUGUUAUUAGGGAAGAACAAAUGCGUAAGUAACUGUGCGCGUCUUGACGGUACCUAAUCAGAAAGCCACGGCUAACUACGUG
rnacentral:rRNA from 1 species